rnacentral:misc_RNA from 1 species
GAUGAAGACGUAGCGAAAUGCGAUAAGUAAUGUGAAUUGCAGAAUUCAGUGAAUCAUCGAAUCUUUGAACGCACAUUGCGCCCCCUGGUAUUCCGGGGGGCAUGCCUGUUCGAGCGUCAUUUCACCACUCAAGCCUCGCUUGGUAUUGGGCAACGCGGUCCGCCGCGUGCCUCAAAUCGACCGGCUGGGUCUUCUGUCCCCUAAGCGUUGUGGAAACUAUUCGCUAAAGGGUGCUCGGGAGGCUACGCCGUAAAACAAACCCAUUUCUAAGGUUGACCUCGGAUCAGGUAGGGAUACCCGCUGAACUUAAGCAUAUCAAUAAGCGGAGGA